rnacentral:rRNA from 1 species
CCACACGACUCUCGGCAACGGAUAUCUCGGCUCUCGCAUCGAUGAAGAACGUAGCGAAAUGCGAUACYUGGUGUGAAUUGCAGAAUCCCGCGAACCAUCGAGUCUUUGAACGCAAGUUGCGCCCGAGGCCACCCGGCCGAGGGCACGCCUGCYUGGGCGUCACGC